UUCCAGACUCCUACGGGAGGCAGCAGUGGGGAAUAUUGCACAAUGGGGGAAACCCUGAUGCAGCAACGCCGCGUGGGUGAAGGAGCGUUUCGGCGCGUAAAGCCCUGUCAGCGGGGAAGAAGAAAGACGGUACCCGACCAAGAAGCCCCGGCUAACUACGUGCCAGCAGCCGCGGUAAUACGUAGGGGGCGAGCGUUAUCCGGAUUCACUGGGUGUAAAGGGAGCGUAGACGGCCAUGCAAGCCAGGGGUGAAAGCCCGGGGCCCAACCCCGGGACUGCUCUUGGAACUGCGUGGCUGGAGUGCAGGAGGGGCAGGCGGAAUUCCUGGUGUAGCGGUGAAAUGCGUAGAUAUCAGGAGGAACACCGGUGGCGAAGGCGGCCUGCUGGACUGCAACUGACGUUGAGGCCCGAAAGCGUGGGGAGCAAACAGGAUUAGAUACCCCGGUAU
rnacentral:rRNA from 1 species